rnacentral:rRNA from 1 species
ACGCUCGACACCUACUGGAGGCAGCAGUCGGGAAUAUUGCGCAAUGGAGGAAACUCUGACGCAGUGACGCCGCGUGCAGGAAGAAGGUUUUCGGAUUGUAAACUGCUUUAGACAGGGAAGAAAGAAAUGACAGUACCUGUAGAAUAAGCUCCGGCUAACUACGUGUCAGCAGCCGCGGUAAUCUGAGGCGGGCUGGCAAGGC